rnacentral:rRNA from 1 species
UGGGGAAUAUUGCACAAUGGGCGAAAGCCUGAUGCAGCAACGCCGCGUGAGCGAUGAAGGUCUUCGGAUCGUAAAGCUCUGUCCUCAAGGAAGAAUUUUGACGGUACUUGAGGAGGAAGCCCCGGCUAACUACGUGCCAGCAGCCGCGGUAAUACGUAGGGGGCCAGCGUUAUCCGGAAUUAUUGGGCGUAAAGGGUGCGUAGGCGGUCCUACAAGUCAGAGGUGAAAGGCUACGGCUCAACCGUAGUAAGCCUUUGAAACUGUAGGACUUGAGUGCAGGAGAGGAGAGUGGAAUUCCCAGUGUAGCGGUGAAAUGCGUAGAUAUUGGGAGGAACACCAGUUGCGAAGGCGGCUCUCUGGACUGUAACUGACGCUGAGGCACGAAAGCGUGGGGAGCGAACAGGAUUAGAUACCCUGGUAGUCCACGCCGUAAACGAUGAGUACUAGGUGUCGGGGGUUACCCCCUCGGUGCCGCAGCUAACGCAUUAAGUACUCCGCCUGGGAA